UGUCCUACGGGAGGCAGCAGUGAGGAAUAUUGGUCAAUGGGCGAGAGCCUGAACCAGCCAAGUCGCGUGAGGGAAGACGGCCCUACGGGUUGUAAAGAUCUGUCAGUGGGGACGAAACUUGACGGUACCCACAGAGGAAGCACCGGCUAACUCCGUGCCAGCAGCCGCGGUAAUACGGGGGGUGCAAGCGUUGUCCGGAAUCAUUGGGCGUAAAGAGUUCGUAGGCGGCACGUAAAGUCUGGUGUUAAAGGCAGAGGCUCAACUUCUGUACGGCACUGGAUACUUGCGAGCUAGAAUGCGGUAGG
rnacentral:rRNA from 1 species